rnacentral:rRNA from 1 species
AGCGAACGUUUGCGGCGGGCCUAACACAUGCAAGUCGAACGCACUAGCAAUAGUGAGUGGCGCACGGGUGCGUAACACGUGGGUAAUCAACCCUUCAGCCUGGGAUAACGACUCGAAAGGGUCGCUAAUACCGGAUACGGCGCGAGAGGCUUCGGCUUCUCACGAGAAAGCCACGCAAGGGGCACUGAAGGACGAGCCUGCGGCCCAUCAGCUAGUUGGUGAGGUAAGAGCUCACCAAGGCUAAGACGGGUAGCUGGUCUGAGAGGAUGAUCAGCCACACUGGAACUGAGACACGGUCCAGACUCCUACGGGAGGCAGCAGUGGGGAAUAUUGCGCAAUGGGCGAAAGCCUGACGCAGCCACGCCGCGUGAGCGAUGAAGGCCUUCGGUCGUAAAGCUCUGUGGGAGGAGACGAAGAAAGACCGUGUGAAGAGCAGGCCGUUGACGGUAGUCUCCUUAGCAAGCACCGGCUAA